UAUCACUUCAGAUCAGCUAGAUGUGGACUAGCUCCAGCAGGAAGAUGUGUAAUCACAUUAGCACAGUGCUGUGCCUGAAGGAAUAAUCCCUGCUGGAUUUAAGUACCUGCUCUGUCUGGAGAUAUUUGUCUCUUUUGCCUUGCAGUUCAGCUCCCCCAACAUCUCUGGGUUGGAAAGCAUGUGGGAGAGAAGAGAAUGAGAAUGGUCAUGACUGACUGAAGAGUCCUUUUUCCCUUAUCAGUGUGGAGCCUAGGUUUAUUGCUCCAUGCAUUUUUAACGCAAUAGACUGACUCCAAUGCACAGGCAGCUUUGAACUUCGAAGCAAGAGCUUCCUCACCUUUUCUACCCCAUAAAUCUCAGGAAUGAAACCUGUACAGAUAUUUUUGCUGUUGGCUAAAGUUUUGGUAUGAUCUCCAAACAGAAACAGCUCAUUAAGGCGUGCAUACUGCUCUGUCUACUGAAACUGCCUUCCAACCCAAAAUACAAUGGAAGUAAUUUCCAAAGAGUUACCAAUGAGCUGUCAGGAGGUGGCAGGCAACUGAUCUGAUUCCAUGCAAUUUCUUUUUUUACCUGUUUGUGAAUAUUAAACAAGUCUUUAUCCAUUUAAUAACAAUUUAAGAAUACUUGUUGACUUUGUAUCACCCUUAAUAAAUAAAAAAUAAACAAACACUUAUAGUGAGG
rnacentral:lncRNA from 1 species